rnacentral:rRNA from 1 species
UACAGGGGGGGCAAGCGUUGUUCGGAAUUACUGGGCGUAAAGCGCGUGUAGGCGGUUGUCCAAGUCGGGUGUGAAAGCCUUGAGCUCAACUCAAGAAAUGCACUCGGUACUGGGCGACUAGAGGACCGGAGAGGAUAGUGGAAUUCCCAGUGUAGUGGUGAAAUACGUAGAGAUUGGGAAGAACACCAGUGGCGAAGGCGGCUAUCUGGACGGUUUCUGACGCUAAGACGCGAAAGCGUGGGGAGCAAACAGG